rnacentral:lncRNA from 1 species
CUGAGGGCUCACACACUAAAUGAGUUUGUAGGAUUUUAGGACCUCUCUCUACCCCAAGCCUGGAGUCAGGAAAUCCCUUAGGGGUUUUGAUUCUGAGUCCUUCUUGUCCCUGCAUACCACAGGCUGAGUACCCGCUGCCAGAACGCCUGUCAGGAAGCAGGCUCCCACAGGUCAGCGGCUCCCUCACUUUUUUUCCUUUGUGGUUCUUAAAGUCCUCCUUUGGGCCAGGCUUUGCAAAGAACGAGGGCUGCAGGCCCCGUCCUGCAGCCUACAGCCGUGGUUGUGCACCGUGCUCCAGAUGGACCAACCCAGUGGACAGAGCAAACGCAAAAGGAGAUUUAAAAUACCUGUGGCUUGCAGGAACCCAGAACGUGAAUGGGCUUGGGGACUGCGUGUGCUGAAGAAGGGAGAAGUUUAAUUAUUUGUCUGGAUAUCUUUUUGCUUUUUCUUUGUACGAAAUGCCUCGUGCUCUUUGGUGGUGCCAAGAAACUUCUCCCCAGGUGAGCGGCUUCCAAGGAAGCUGGGGAAAGUGGUUUUGGUGGUGGAGGAGCUGGCUCCAGGGCACAUCAUACCCUGCGGCCAGAGGAGAGGACGUGUUGGGCGAGCACGAUGCUUCAGGAGAAAAGAAAAGCCGCAGGACUCCAGAGCCUGGCAUAUGACAGAACGCCUCCAGCGGCUCGGCGCAUUUGCAUUCACGGCGAUACAAUAACUGUUUCAGAUGGAGUUUGGGGUGAGUUUUUGCUUUAUUUUUGCGGGAGUACAGCCCUGAAUUUUGGACGGCGAUUGCACAACCGUGUGUCUUGUGGCACAACAACUCGCUUUGGUGUUAGUGUACUUCCUUACCGGUGGCCCCAGCAAGACAGAGGGCAAGCGCUCGUGCUCCUGACCCUGCGUGUGGCUGUGCCUGUCCCUCCUGGGUGAGGAGCGGGUGGGGAAUGGCUUUCAAAAUGCACCACUUGUUGUCUGACAGCAUGGAAAGUAAACUGUCACCUGCCAAUCCCUGUACCAUGGAAUAUAUCUAUACCUCUUUGUGUUUACUUCAUCAAAUUCCUGUCUUAGGACUGAGUAUGGCAUGAAGCAGAAGGUAAAUUGGCUUAUUUUUUUUUUUUUAAACUUCAACUCUACUUGUACAGCUCUACCCUCAUACAUAAUGUAUUCCUAAAAAUGUAUGCAGGUUUGAGCUGGCUGAACAUGGUCCCCUGGGUUAGAAUCAGUGCUACUUACAAGCUCAGGACGUGCCGGGUUAGUCCCCCCGCGCAGAAGGUGCAGGGGGUCUGCGAAUGGAUUUCCCCGAGCCUUGCAGAGGUGAGCUGGUGCUUUCAGA